UACGAAGGGGGCUAGCGUUGUUCGGAAUUACUGGGCGUAAAGGGCGCGCAGGCGGCUUUGUAAGUUAGGCGUGAAAGGCCUGGGCUUAACCCGGGAAUUGCGCUUAAGACUGCGGAGCUUGAGGGUGGGAGGGGAUGGUGGAAUUCCCAGUGUAGAGGUGAAAUUCGUAGAUAUUGGGAAGAACACCAAUGGCGAAGGCGGCCAUCUGGACCACAUCUGACGCUGAGGCGCGAAAGCGUGGGGAGCAAACAGG
rnacentral:rRNA from 1 species